rnacentral:lncRNA from 1 species
UGUGAUUGAGUACUCCUCUCACCUUCUAUUCAUCAUAUUUUCAUUAGUUUAGUUGCCAACAAGUUGGUAUCAAAGCCAAGUUCAGUCCUACAGCAAUAGUCAAAGCCGGUAAUGUUUUAAGGCAAUAGUCAAAGCAAGAUACAAUCCGAAGAGAUGUGAAAGGUGGAAGAAUAUUUCUCCAUAGUUGAAGCAAAAAACUCUAGGUUAGAAGAUCUGUUGAGUGAGCAGUUUGUAAUUUGUGUGAUACUCUGAAUUUAAGAUAAAAAAUAGAUAUCUGUUGAGACAGUGCGAGUCGAAAAGAGUGACUCCGCAAG